GUGAGUCAUCGAAUCUUUGAACGCACAUUGCGCCCCUUGGUAUUCCGAGGGGCAUGCCUGUUCGAGCGUCAUUACAACCCUCAAGCACUGCUUGGUCUUGGGCUCCGCUGCUAACCCGGCGGGCCUUAAAAUGAGUGGCGGCGCCAUCGGGCUCUGAGCGUAGUAAAUUUCCUCGCUACGGAGUCCUGGUGACGGUGGCCAUCAACCCCCAACUUUCUACGUUUGACCUCGGAUCAGGUAGGGAUACCCGCUGAACUUAAGCAUAUCAAUAAGCGGAGGA
rnacentral:misc_RNA from 1 species